rnacentral:rRNA from 1 species
UACGUAGGGUGCAAGCGUUGUCCGGAAUUAUUGGGCGUAAAGAGCUCGUAGGCGGCUAGUCACGUCGGAUGUGAAAACCCGAGGCUCAACCUCGGGCCUGCAUUCGAUACGGGCUGGCUAGAGUACUGCAGGGGAGACUGGAAUUCCUAGUGUAGCGGUGAAGUGCGCAGAUAUCAGGAGGAACACCGGAGGCGAAGGCGGGUCUCUGGGCAGUAACUGACGCUGAGGAGCGAAAGCGUGGGGAGCGAACAGG